rnacentral:pre_miRNA from 1 species
AUGGAACUCACUUGGGGAAUCUUGUUGAAAGACACAUUCUAAUUCCAUCAAUCUGGGGUAAGACCUGAGAUUCUGCAUUUCUAACAAGCUCACAGCUGAUGCCAAU